rnacentral:rRNA from 1 species
GUUUCCUACGGGGCGCAGCAGUGAGGAAUAUUGGUCAAUGGCCGGAAGGCUGAACCAGCCAAGCCGCGUGAGGGAGGAAGGCGUAGAGCGUCGCAGACCUCUUUUGCCGGGGGACAAAAGGCCGGACUCGUCCGGUCCUGAGGGUACCCGGAGAAAAAGCAUCGGCUAACUCCGUGCCAGCAGCCGCGGUAAUACGGAGGAUGCGAGCGUUAUCCGGAUUUAUUGGGUUUAAAGGGUGCGUAGGCGGCCUGUUAAGUUAGUGGUUAAAUGUCGGGGCUAAACCCCGGAUUGCCAUUAAAACUGGG